GGAUGAACGCUGACAGAAUGCUUAACACAUGCAAGUCUUUGGCGAAGCUGUGCUUGCACAGCCUAGCCAAGGCGGACGGGUGAGUAACGCGUAAGGAACUUGCCCUGCAGUCAGGGAUAACAGACGGAAACGACUGAUAAGACCUGGUAAAGUCAGGCGGACUCAUGUCCAGCCUGAUGAAAAGAGAUGCUGCAGGAGAGCCUUGCGUCCUAUUAGCUUGUUGGUGGGGUAACGGCCCACCAAGGCGAUGAUAGGUAGCCGGCCUGAGAGGGUGGACGGCCACAAGGGGACUGAGAUACGGCCCUUACUCCUACGGGAGGCAGCAGUGGGGAAUAUUGGACAAUGGGGGCAACCCUGAUCCAGCAAUUCUGUGUGCACGAUGAAGGUUUUCGGAUUGUAAAGUGCUUUCAGCAGGGAAGAAAAAAAUGACGGUACCUGCAGAAGAAGCGACGGCUAAAUACGUG
rnacentral:rRNA from 1 species